rnacentral:rRNA from 1 species
GAUUCAGCGGGUUACGAUUGACGGAGCGAAGCGACGUCAAAGCGUAUACAAAGUCGAGUCGGUUUAAGGAUACGUUCGUUGGGUAGGGGAGCGUUCUGUAAGCCUGUGAAGGUGUGUCGUGAGGCAUGCUGGAGGUAUCAGAAGUGCGAAUGCUGACAUAAGUAACGAUAAAGCGGGUGAAAAGCCCGCUCGCCGGAAGACCAAGGGUUCCUGUCCAACGUUAAUCGGGGCAGGGUGAGUCGACCCCUAAGGCGAGGCCGAAAGGCGUAGUCGAUGGGAAACGGGUUAAUAUUCCCGUACUUGGUGUUACUGCGAAGGGGGGACGGAGAAGGCUAUGUUGGCCGGGCGACGGUUGUCCCGGUUUAAGCGUGUAGGUGUGUGUUCCAGGUAAAUCCGGUUCACUUUAACACUGAGGCGUGAUGACGAGGCACUACGGUGCUGAAGCAACAAAUGCCCUGCUUCCAGGAAAAGCCUCUAAGCAUCAGGUAACAUCAAAUCGUACCCCAAACCGACACAGGUGGUCAGGUAGAGAAUACCAAGGCGCUUGAGAGAACUCGGGUGAAGGAACUAGGCAAAAUGGUGCCGUAACUUCGGGAGAAGGCACGCUGACAC